rnacentral:rRNA from 1 species
GGAGUUAGGAAAUGUAAAGGUGUUAAUAGCGCCUUUAUUUGACGAAGGCUCCAGAGGAAGCCACGGCUAACUCUGUGCCAGCAGCCGCGGUAAUACAGAGGUGGCAAGCGUUGUUCGGAAUUAUUGGGCGUAAAGAGCACGUAGGCGGUCCUGCAAGUCUGUUGUGAAAUCCUUCCGCUUAACGGGAGAACGGCAGCUGAUACUACAGGACUAGAGUACGGGAGGGGAGAGUG